GCAACAUGGCGGCUCAGUGGAGUCACAUGACCUGAACCGAUUGUGGACCGGCACCACUUACACACAGAUCAUUUACUUUAAAAACCUUUACUACAAUAAUAUUAGCAUGCUAACCCCUCAGGUCAGACGGUUUUCAUAUUUCCUGUCACAGGAAUUUCUGGAUAAGAGCCAUUUUACAAAAUAGCCACCAUUUUUGGGCCUUUUAAAUGAAUUAUUGUCAUAAAAUGUUCCCCAUCUUUUAAUGAACUUUUCGUCUCAUGUUUUCUUCUUUGGUCAUUAUGUACGUAAAACUUUAAAGUGCGCGGAAUCAGAAACUGAGGACUUUAUUGUUAGCAAGUGUUAAUGGUUAGCGUUAGCUUCUGCUCAUUUUUUUGUGUGUUUAGCGGCUUAGCUUUAGCUUCUGAUCAUUUUAUGUGGUUAUGGGUUUAGUAUUAGCAGAGCUAAGAUUCUUGUUUAGCAAAUUAGUUAUAAGUGAAGCUAAUGCCCCUUUUCCACAGCCCGACCCGACCCGGCUCGCUUUCCGAACUUUUCUACCGGCUUCUUUUCGGAGCAGGCCCAGCCCAGCCAGUGACGCAAGCUUCGCUCCAGGUCACUGAUUGGCUGAGGGCGCGGUCAGACGGAGCAGCAAAGAGAAGAAAAACGAGGCGCAACGUUUCAACUCGCUGCAACACGGAAGUGAUGAAGAUACAAACACCGACCCAGAUGCAGCUAACGCCGCCGCCGCUGCUCUCCAGCCAGAGAACAGAAGAGGAGGAACAUGGCUGACAUGAUGGAGAACGAUGAGGAGAACCGUCAGAACAACAACUGGAUCUCCUUCAGGAGGAAGCAGCUACCAGCAGAGAUGGCAGAGCUCCACGAAGAGCCGAGGCAAAGAAAAGAAGAAAAUAAAUGCUGUUUUCUCUCAGUA